rfam:Oryza meridionalis cultivar OR44 (W2112) chromosome 1, whole genome shotgun sequence.
AAAGACUCGAUUCUUGGGUUUUGGUGUUCAACGUUUGACCAUCCGUCUUAUACGAAAUUUUUUUAUGAUUAGCAUUUUUAUUAUUGUUAGAUGAUAAAAUAUGAAUAAUACUUUAUACAUGACUUAUCUUUUUAAAUUUUUUCAUAACUUUUUCAAAUAAGACGAAUGGUCAAAUGUUAGACACGGAAACCCAGGAAUUGAGUUUUU